AUUGAACGCUGGCGGCAUGCUUUACACAUGCAAGUCGAACGGCAGCACGAAAGAGCUUGCUCUUUUGGUGGCGAGUGGCGAACGGGUGAGUAAUGCAUCGGAACGUACCGAGUAAUGGGGGAUAACUAUCCGAAAGGAUAGCUAAUACCGCGUACGCUUUGAGAAGGAAAGUGGGGGCUCUUCGGACCUCACGUUAUUCGAGCGGCCGAUGUCUGAUUAGCUAGUUGGUGGGGUAAAGGCCUACCAAGGCGACGAUCAGUAGCGGGUCUGAGAGGAUGAUCCGCCACACUGGGACUGAGACACGGCCCAGACUCCUACGGGAGGCAGCAGUGGGGAAUUUUGGACAAUGGGCGCAAGCCUGAUCCAGCCAUGCCGCGUGUCUGAAGAAGGCCUUCGGGUUGUAAAGGACUUUUGUUAGGGAAGAAAAGGAUAGUGUUAAUACCAUUAUCUGC
rnacentral:rRNA from 1 species